rnacentral:rRNA from 1 species
UAGGGAAUCUUCCGCAAUGGACGCAAGUCUGACGGAGCAACGCCGCGUGAGUGAAGAAGGAUUUCGGUUCGUAAAACUCUGUUGUUAGAGAAGAACAGCGCAUAGAGUAACUGUUAUGCGUGUGACGGUAUCUAACCAGAAAGCCACGGCUAACUACGUGCCAGCAGCCGCGGUAAUACGUAGGUGGCAAGCGUUGUCCGGAUUUAUUGGGCGUAAAGCGAGCGCAGGCGGUCAAUUAAGUCUGAUGUGAAAGCCCCCGGCUCAACCGGGGAGGGUCAUUGGAAACUGUUUAACUUGAGUGCAGAAGGGGAGAGUGGAAUUCCAUGUGUAGCGGUGAAAUGCGUAGAUAUAUGGAGGAACACCGGUGGCGAAGGCGACUCUCUGGUCUGUAACUGACGCUGAGGCUCGAAAGCGUGGGUAGCAAACAGG